GAUGAACGCUGGCGGCGUGCCUAAUACAUGCAAGUCGAGCGAACAGACGAGGAGCUUGCUCCUUUGACGUUAGCGGCGGACGGGUGAGUAACACGUGGGUAACCUACCUAUAAGACUGGGAUAAUUUCGGGAAACCGGAGCUAAUACCGGAUAAUAUUUCGAACCGCAUGGUUCGAUAGUGAAAGAUGGCUCUGCUAUCACUUAUAGAUGGACCUGCGCCGUAUUAGCUAGUUGGUAAGGUAACGGCUUACCAAGGCAACGAUACGUAGCCGACCUGAGAGGGUGAUCGACCACACUGGAACUGAGACACGGGCCAGACUCCUACGGGAGGCAGCAGUAGGGAAUCGUCCGCAAUGGGCGGAAACCUGACGGAGCAACGCCGCGUGAGUGAUGAAAGUCUUCGGAUCGUAAAACUCUGUUAUUAGGGAAGAACAAACGUGUAAGUAACUGUGCACGUCUUGACGGUACCUAAUCAGAAAGCCACGGCUAACUACGUG
rnacentral:rRNA from 1 species